UAAUCGUUCGAUUUUCAGAGU
rnacentral:piRNA from 1 species